ACGUUCUCGAGCCAUUUCCGCCCCGCAAAAUACACAUCGGAAAGGGAUGCUUUACGUGAACACAAUAACCACCUUCCAUUUCAUCCUCCCCCUCCUCUCUUCCUGCAAGCCAAAGAUGUCAACUUGAAUGAAACUCAAACUGUGGCUGAAAUGCACUACCCUGGGGAGUCUAAGGUAUUUUCCGGAUGACGUUACAGGUCCAAGCUAUUUUGAGCGGAACAGAAGCAGCGAUUCCCGGUGAGGCACAGCUAAGGAGACGGGAGUGUGGAGGUGGCAGAAAACGCUCUGCCUCUUUCCCAAAAACGUCCCGCGGAGAUGUUUUCCACAGUAGCCGUCCUCUGCUUCGAUGUCAGGUGGCUUCAUCACAGCAUCUGGGAUCGAUUUCUGGGAGGAGUCCCCGUGUGUGUGACAGGAAGUGGCAGGAAGUGUCCCAGACAGGAAGUGGCAGGAAGUCUCCCAGACAGGAAGUGGCAGGAAGUCUCCCAGCAGACAGGUUCCUCACCGUUAUCUCCGGCUUCACCUCCUUUUCUUGUGUCACAUCCCCGUCACCGUGAGAAGAUGCCAGACAAGUUGUUCAGUAAAUACCUCUGUCCACAAGAGAACCUCUAUGCAAACAGUCCACCAGAGAGGGACACAGCCUUCAUGGGAAUGGGAAGCCCUGAGCAUAAAGCAGAUGUCUGGGGUUCAAUUAAAAAUAAAUGAACAUUAUCAGUCUAUGAUAUGUAUCUGUUCAUGUUGAUUGUAUCACUGCUCUCAGUUCAUGGACCUGCAGAAAACUGUGGAAAUAAGCCAUGAUAUAAAUUGUUGUACAUUAAUG